GCGGAAGGCAAAUCCACCCGGCAGGAACGGCUGCCUCUGCAGAUCCAUGCGGCGAUAGAACAGGGCGGAGGGGGUUGGAUUUGCUGAGCCAUCCGGGAUUGAACAACGAACUCGCCACAGCCGUGCUGGUCAGGGAAACGGCGGGGAUCGUGGGCACGGUCCCUCUGGUUUUCAGACCUGGAGAAAAGAUCCGAAGCAAUUUUAAAUUAAGACUAUAUUCCCAGACCUGUCAACACUAUAGUAUGAAUCACGGAACUGAGUACUUUCAUUAUUACUCACCAAACUUGCAAGUGUGUCUGCUGACAUCUCCGUGCUCAAUCUGCUGGACUAUUGAUGUGAGCACUGCUGUGCUCCAGAGGAGUUCUUAGCAUGUCCCAGUGAUGUUCAAAAUGUAACCCGAUUGCAAGGGUUCAUGAGGAAACCAAGGAUUGCCCGGCCAGGCUCAAGUCUUCCUCAUCCUUCUUCCUUCUGCCAUCUUUUGAGAAUGGUCACCGUAAGUGGCAUGAUUUGGUAACCGGAGGUCCUGAGCACAAAGGUUCUCAAACCUGAACAGAUAUCGGAACCACCCACCUGGAGGGCUGGGCACACUGAUUGUUUCCCGAGUUUCUAACUGAAUUCCCAAGAUUAACUGGCGUUCUGUAGGUCGGCACAAAGUCGUGGCUUUGCCAUCUGACGGAGGACGCGCAGCGGUCGUCUCUGGCUGGGUAGACUGAGACCUGAACGCUGAGGGACUUAGGACCAGCAGUGCCGUCCAGGCCUGGCUGCAGACGGAAACUACUUCAAGAUAAGCUCCACCAAAAAUAGAGAGGAAAUCAAGAAGAUUAAGACGCAGGAUCCAGCGCAACGCUCCAGCACAGGAGAGACCAAAAGAACGUUUGACAAUCCACUGACUUCCUAGAAAACAGAAGAGUGGGCUGGGCAUGGUGGCUCACGCCUGUAAUCCCAGCACUCUGGGAGGCUGAGGUGGGUGGAUUACCUGAGAUCAGGAAUUCGGGACCAGCCUGGAGAAACCCCGUCUCUAAAAAUACAAAAAUUAGCCGAACGUGAUGGCGCACGCCUUGUAGUCCCAGCUACUCAAGAGACUGAGGCAGGAGAAUGGCGUGAACCCGGGAAGCAGAGGUUGUAGUCAGCCAAGAUCGCGCCACUGCACUCCAGCGUGGGAGACAGAGCGAGAGUCCGUCUCAAAAAAAAGAAAAAAA